rnacentral:tRNA from 2 species
GCCGGAGUAGCUCAGUUGGUAGAGCAACUCACUUGUAAUGAGUAGGUCGGGGGUUCGAGUCCUCUCUCCGGCUCCA